UCUAUUUUACAUUAAAAUUUAAAUUUAAGUUUAAAUUAUGAAUUAAAUUUAAUUUUUAAUUUUUAAUAUCAAAUCUAUUCAUCUAUUUUACAUUAAAAUUUAAAUUCGAGUUAAAUCGUGAAUUAAAUUUAAUUUUUAAUUUUUGAUAUCAAAAUUGAAUUUAAUUAUAUAAUGUACAAAAAUUAAAUUUUAAAUAAAUGUCAAUUAAAUUUUGAUGCUUUUAGUUUAAAAGACUUAUUUAAAUUUUAGAUUUAUUAAAAAUUAAAAAAUAUAUAAAAAUAUCUAAUGUAUAUAAAAAAGAACAUAUUGCAGAUAUUUUCUAAUAAAAUAUAACAUAUAAAUUUACAAAAUGUUUUUAUUCUAAAUUCUUAAAUCAAUAUGAUUUAAUAUUUUUUAUUAAUUUAAAAUAAAUUAAAAUAAUUAUUACGUGCAUUUGUACGUACACUCAACUAGUAUCUAUUAACAUAUAUAAUUUCUCAAUAAUCUUGUUGAUGUGGCACAACCACAUUACUUUAGAAGUUUUUUUUUUUUUUUUAACUCAGCCCAUGUUCCAUUGUCUUUACUCCCACCCCUCCAUCUUCUCCUUGCAACGUAUACCUUACCUUCCUCCUCUCUUAAGCAUAAACUUCCAUCCCUCCAUCUUCUUCGUAUAAUAAAUCUAUUAAUUUCACAAACUUUUAUUAAUUAAUUAAUAUAUAUGAUUUCUUUCCCUUGGCUUAACUCCUACCCCUGCAUCUUCUCCUUGCAACGUGUAACUUACCUUCCUCCUCUCUUAAGCAUAAACUUCCAUCCCUCCAUCUUCUUCUUGCACCAAAUCUAUUAAUUUCACAAACUUAUUAUUUUAUCAAGUUAGAGCAUAUCAACACAACCAGGGUUAGCAACUUCCUAAUAAAAUAUUUUUAAAGAGUUAAUUUUAUAUUAGAGGACCGGAGGGCGAUAGGAGAUGCGGGGCCGGGGGGGCUGGGCGGCAUCGAGGUUGAGGGCGGUGCUACUGCCGACAAUGACUAUAGCGACAGCGACCGCGUCCUCGGUGGUGGCGGUGCCCGAGGUGGUGAUUUUAUUUAUUUAUUUAUUUACUUAUUUAUUUUGAGCUUUUUAGAAUUUGAUGGCUCUUUCCAACUAGAAUUUUCGUGCUCAAAAUAUGAUAAGAAUUUGAUCAUUUUUUUGGCCCAUUAUUUGUAACUGGCAAUAGUUAUUUACAGACUGAUUGGAGCUAACAAACGAAUAAUUUGAAUAACUAAUUUAUAUAUAUUUUUAAUUUGAUAUAAAAUAUAUGUAAAAUUCAAAAUAUAUAAAUAUGAAAAAAUAUCAAGCUAGCCCAAAUUAGAUGGUGCUUUUCUCUUCCAUUCUCUUUGUAGGUUCUGAGUAUACAUCUAAUUUAUCUUUAAGAAAAAAAAAUAUUAAAAGCAUUUCCUAAGACUGAUAUGACGCAAUCUACUUACGCCUCUACUUUUUAUUUAUUUUAUAAUGUGAAUAGAGCAUUUCAUAUAAUUCACAUUGAUGUCCGUAAGUUUCCUAAGCCACAGAAGCUCAAACCCUUGAAUUUGUGAUUUCAAGUUAAGUAUUUUAUCCACCUAUCAUAAGGUGUAUUAGUAGCUCAAUUAAUUUGUUUAAAAAUUAGAUCAAAAGUGGUCUAAUUUCAUGCUGUAACUUUACCUUCUUGAUAUAAUAAAAUUCUUUUCAUUGUGUCUACUUCAGUUAAUAAAUUACUCACUUUUUUUUAGGAUACAGAAAAAAAAAAAGUAUGAACCACCUCACCAAGAAAGCAACGAGUCAGGUAAUGGUUUGUUGGAAAUGCUAUUGCAGUAGUUAUAGUAGCUUUGUAUUAUUGUUGCUCUUUUACCAAUUUGAUUCUUUCUGAUUAUUUAAAUUAAUAUUCUUUAUUUUAUAGUUAGAGUAAUAUUUUUUACAUAUUUGAUGAAUUGUAUAUUUCAGGUUUAUUUUUUCAGGCUAUCAUCGAUAAUCAAUAAUAAUAAAUAAAAUAAUUAUUUCGAUAAUACCUACCCGCUGCAUCGUGCGGGUAACUACACUAAUAUACAUAUAUACUUAUAUACAUUUUUAGUCAAAUCACACUUCUGGUUCUCAAACCUUAAUUUAUUGUAAUUUCUAAUUUGAACUCUUCUAGAUUGUUGUAACUAAGUAUCACAGUCUAAUUUAGUCGACUGAAUAAUAAUGUGUUGUUGAUAUAACUGUGACAUGCUAUCUUAUAACUGCCAUGUCAUCGAUCACAGUAGAACCAUGUUAAAAAUAUGUUUAGUCCACUAAAUUGAACUGCAAGACUUAAUUGCAACAAAUCUAAAAAGUUUCGAGCCAGAAAUUACAGUAAAUUAAUGUUUGAGUACUAAAGUAUCAUAAGCCUCAUAAUUUGAGUACUAAAAGUAUAAUUUAGCCUAGAGUGAAGUCAAAAAUAAAGAGGAGACCCAAAGCUUCUCAAUAGAUAAUUCCAACUACAGACAAGUUCCAGAUUCCGCAUCCAUCUGAAUGGUUUUUUCGCCAAAAAAUAAAAAAAUAGAAAUAAAACUAAAAAAGGGCAUGAUUUUAAACAUAGGAUGACCUAUUUUACAUGAUUCUAUUUCCUACAUUCCCACUCUAAGGCCUGCUACCAUGUAAUGUAAACAUAUUAAUGAGUUAUAUAAUGCAUCAAUAGAUUGGCUAAUGUAGAUAGCUAUGUUGUCUGAAUACACUCAACCAGAUUGGAAAGAGAUGUUCAUGGAUGAUGAGAUAAGAUGCUACUCACCACACAAGAUGAUCCUUACUUAGAUAUCAAAAGUUAGAUUAAUGCUUUGACCUCUCAUUUGAAAGCAAUAAAUAAAGGGUGAAACAAAACUACAAACCACUGCAAUCAAGUUCUAACUUUUACAGAUCUAACCAUGCGAAAAUGCAAUAGAAAGCGAGUGCGCUAUUGUUGAUAAUGAGAUGUCAUUAAACAAGAAUAAUUACUACUUUCCAAGUUUAUUACAGCUUAGAGAACUGAUCUAAUUCGAAAAUAGUUUUAAGCCAAAAUUACUGGGCGAAUUUGGAUUUCAGAUCAAUGCAAUCCAACAGAGAAAUACCCGGCUUCGCUUUCGAGAACUUCCCUUCAUUAAUCAAUGUCAACUAACUAGAAAAAGAGCACUCACAGAUAUAUGCACUAAUAAGGAAAUUAUUCUAUAUUUAAAAGAUAGGUUUUAUAUACAAAUGCACGUAUGUACAGACCUAAAAACAGUGCUGAUGCUUAAAUCACAUUUCUUGCAAAAUAUCUACAAAAAUAGGAACCCUGACUAUCGACAUCGCUUUUAACUUCUUGGUAUCAAUUCUCAUGCUUUCUUUUGUCGACUCCCUUGUUCUGUGUUAAAAGAUAAACGGCAAUCCUCAUCCUUUCUACGAUUUACUAUUUUAAUGAUAAACUAGAGUUGGCAUGUCUCCAAUAAAAUGAUUAACCUUUGCAUUUAGAGACAAAGAUGAAUCUAGUAUUGCACUAGCAACAAAAUAUAGUUUCUAAUUUACAACAAACAUUUUAGGAAGCAUUUAAUAGUAAUCGCAUAAUAGGUGAAACUGACACGUUGUAGAACUCAUGUAAAUGUUAGAGACAUAAAAUUAUGAUGUAGAACAAACAAUACUGAUGACAACAAAAGUAAGGAAAUGAAUCACAGCCAUCACUAUCUAGGAGUUGAAGCAUCCAUUCUAUGCAACAUGGCAGCUUAGGAAGUUAAUAGACAAAACAAUAAAAGAAAAGGCAAUCAUUCGUUUCCUCGUGAUUGCGACAAAUUAAUUUCAAGCAAACCCAUUCUGCAAUACAGUUAGCAAUUUCAGAGAUAGCAAUAAACUAGCUUAUGUAUGCCAAUGAUGAGCAGAAGUUCAAACUGUACAGUGUAUCUCAUAACAGUACAUAAUCAGCAAUACAAAAUCCUCCAUCAUGAUGCAAAAUCUAAUGCUAUUGCUGAUGAAGUAGCAAAUAUAAUAAUGUUUACACGCUAACUGCAGCUAGUCGUUGCAAAAAUUUUAUGUACAACAUUUUCGAAACAAUCAUAAAUUUUGGUCUAAUAUUCACUAAAAAUUUAGCUAGAACAGAAGGUAAUUUGCAUCUUCUUUAGCAAGACAAUAAAGAACAAACUUCCAUCUUUGUUUCAUAAAAUCAUCGCAAGCAACAAUAUGGAUAACGACAAAGACCAUAAGCAAUUGUUAGGAAUCCAAUUUACAACCAUCUAUAACAGAGUAUACCUUUCUAUUUAAGUCCAAGUGAACUAUAACCAAAUAUGAGUAUUCUUAUAUAUCCAUCUUAACUGAAGUUGGCGCAUCAAGAACAUUAAGAGAAAGAAACCAAAAUAAUGAUCUCCAAUGAAAUAUCUCAAUUAGUCAUUCAUAUAGCAGCACUUUGCAUUAACAGAAAAGGAACGACAAAUCGAUAGAAUUUCAGAAAGGUACAUUUUGAGUUCAACAAAGUUUUGAUGUACACAAAGGAGUCCGACGCAGCAAUACUAUACCAACAUAACUCAACAAUGCCUUGAACGACAAACAACAUAAGUUUCCAGUCGCGGGAUUUACAAGGAUCACUACACUACACCAAGAGAUCGUCGACGACUAAACCCAUCUCAUAACACAAAAGUAAAGAGAAAGAAGAGAGAAAAUUAAGCCCUAGAGACUCAUCCUUAGUGAUGAAAAGAAGGAAAGAAAGGUUAAAAGUAAGCGAAGAAUCUCUACAAUCUCUCAUAGAGGAAUUCCCUUUUGCGGAAGCAGAGGCCUAACGACCGAUUACAAUGCAACCACUUACCCCUGGAAAUCUCUCAUGCCUCAAAACCCCUAAUUCUUUUAUUUCCCAAUUCAACUAGGCAAUCGAUAGUAGGAGAGUGCAAACAAAUUCCCGACCCUGGUAACUUUCUGAAACUUGCUCGAUGCGGAAUUUAUCGCAUCAUAGCAGUUCCCCUCCUCUAAUAGCCUCUACAAUAAGGUAACAUGUAAACAUAGGUUCAAUGACAGGAACAAGAACAUAGACAAAGACGGUGGCGAAGAUCGAAAUGAACGGAGAAAACCCUAACGGAGGAGAUAAAGCUACCCCGAAUUCCCUAAUACGCUCAGAGCGCUAUAAUCCUCAGAUUUGUGCUUCCAACAGAAACGCGGCGUAAUUAAUUAAGCACGAUAAUUACAAUAGCAAAGAGGGGGAUUGAUAUUGCAAUAAGAGUUGUGUAUACCGAGAAGAUCAAUCCUCGCCAGUGGGACAGGGUGAGCUCUCUCCUCCGCCGGAUCCGGCCCUGGCGCCGGAUUCCAAAUCAUCGGCGUACGACGACGGGGGCGGCGGCGGCGGCGGCUGCGCGGGGCGGGACGAGGGGGACCAUCCGGUGCGGGUGCAUUCGGCAGCGGCACCGCGCGGUCAAGAAGCCGUGCUCGAACCCCGCGGCGCCGUUGGCGGGGAGCGGCGCGGAGGCGCCGUAGUGGCCGAGAUGCCGCUGCUGGUGCUGGUGUGGUGGUGGUGGUGGGGUGGGGGUGGGGGUGGGGGUAGAACUGCUGGUGGCUGUGGUGGUGCAGGGCGGUGAGCUGCUGGUGGUGCUGGAGGGUGGCGGCGCCGGCGGGAAGGGAUGAAGGGAUCGGGGCGGGGGGGGCGGCGGCGGCGGCGGAGGAGAGGCGAGGGGGGCGAGGAAGUGGGGGGACGGGGGCGGUGGCGAAGAGGUGGUCGUGGCGGGGUCGACGACGCGGCGGCGGCGGCGGGGACGCCGUGGGCGGCGGCGGCGGAGGCGCGCGAGGAGAGAGGAGGAGGAGGUGAGGCCCUGCAUGCGCUUGAGGUAGAGGCGGUACUUCUGGAGGUGGCUGGCGAGUUCUCGCGGGUGAGCCGUCCACGCUCAUCAGCUGCAUUAUCGUCUUCGGCACCGCGUUCUUGAUCCCCAGGUGCGCCACCGCGUCCACGAACCGCUUGUGCAGCUGCGGCGUCCCACCAGCCGCGGCCGCUUCAGCGUCGCGCCGGCUCCUCCCCGCCCCCGCGCCCCCGCCCCCGCCCCCCGCCCCGUUCAGAUCCGACCCCGCCGCCCCGUCGCACUCCGCCGGACUCUGCGCCGCCGCCGCCGCGCGAGGCCGUGGGCGUGUGGGGUGGCGUGGGAAUGCGCGCCGGCGGCGGCGGCGGCGGCGGCGGAGGGAUCGUGGUGGAGGCUCGUAGGGUUUGUAGGGGAUGGGGAGGGGGAGGAGGUGGGGAUGUCGAAGGCGAGGGCGAGGUCGGGAGUGAUCAGCGUCUGGGAGAGCGGGGUCAGCUCAUCCGGCCUCGGGAGCUGCUCCUCCCACCGCGCGAACCAGCUCGGCUCCUCCUCCUCCCUCAUACUUAAUACUACUCUUAUUAUUAUUAUUAUUAUUAUUAUUCAACUUCUACACACCCAACCAAAAAAAAAUAAAAAUAAAAAUAAAAAUCUCUCCCUUAUCUUAUCUCCUACAGAAAUUGAAAUAGAAAUAGAGAAGGAGAAGAAGAUUGAUGAUUUAAAGAGGAGGAGGAGUUAAGAGAAGGAGAGGAGAGAGUGGAUGGGGGUGGAGACUGGAGAGAGGUUCGAGGUGGAUCUUUCUCUUUUGUUUUUGGUGUUUUCUGAUGAUGCUCUCUUUCUCUAUAUCUUUCUCUUUUUUUUUUUCUUUUCUCUCUCUAUCCCUGUCUCUUAUUUUUAUCUUUCCUCUCUCCUUCUCUCUCUUACUAAUAUUCUCUUUCUGAGGAAGGAGAGGAGAGGAGGACUCGGGAUUGUUUAAUUUACUGCAGAGGUAGAGAGAGAGAGAGAGAGAGAGAGAGAGAGGGGUGUGUGUUGGGGGUGGGGAGAAGGGAGAGAGAGAGGGCGGAGGGACUAAAUUUGUGCAAUCUCUUUUGUUUGUUUGUUUGCUUCCUGGGAGGCUAUUCUUUGCUUUCUGGGGGAUUGGGUGUUGCUAUGCGUACCUCAAAUUGUACCCCCAAGGGUGGUGUUUAAUGUAGGUACCUUAUGAAGUACCCUUAAAUACAGGAAAGAAUUUUUUAGUGUCCUUAAAUACAGUUAAAAAAAGAUUUAGUAAGUAUAAUGGUUUAACCCUUUUUGUGAUUGAGAUAUGCUCACCCAAAAAUUUAGGUAUCCUUUUGGGUCUUUGAUAUUAAAAAUAAAAAUUACUAACGCCAACGUAAAUAUAUUAGCGCUUGGACGAAUAGAGUGCAAAAUUUAUAUUUAUUUUUGGAAGGUAUAGAUAACCGCCUUCCUUUUUCUGAUUAAUUUAAUUUCUAUGUAUAAAUUUUGUGGAGCAAAUGAAAUAUUACGCUAGCGCAAAAUAUAGUUGAUUCGAGCUACUUUGUGAUGGUUUAUGGAGUUCAUAUCCUAUCAUGUUUCAUAACAAAUAUUUCAAAACUGUAUGUUGUUGGUUUGAUCUUGCUUUUCUUAAUAGUCAUCUUCAGUAGGAUAUUUAGCGGUUGAAAAUUCUAGUCUACUGCAAUAAAAAUAAAAACAAAUGAGAUCUUGAGGCGUAAAAACAAAAGUCUAACUUGAUGCUCCCACUUUUAUUAUAGAGAAAAAAAUCUUAAUAUAAUGUUUCUUCAAAUAGUAUCAUUCAGACAAUAUAUUUUUUCUAUGAAUGUCAUAGAAUGAUGUUUAAUAUUAAAUAUUCAACACUCCUCUUCACGUCACGGCUAGUGAAAUUCAAACUCACAAUCUUAUACUUCGACACCAUUUGAAAUUAUGAUUUUUCUUUUAAAAUUUAAAUUGAUAGAGAAGUAUGUUUUAAUAUCAUAUAUUCAAUAAUUCACACAAACUUAUCUAUGCAGACCUAAGAUAUAAAUAUUCUUUAUUAUCAAAUUACCAACCAAAUGUGUAAUAUAUAUAUAUUAUCCGAUAAACAUCAUUCUCUGAUACCUUAAGCUUCUGGAAGAUAGCAAUUAGUUCAUUUAAUUUAACAUGGUGUUUGAGCAGGAGUUCAUGAGUUCGAAUUCCGCCAGAUUUCUAAUAUGUUAUAUCUUUGUAAUUAAAAGUUGGCGAGAGAAAGUACAAAUGGAAUGAGUCCGCCUACUAUACUCUUAUAAGUAUAGACUCCGUCGUACUCAUAAUUAAUAUUUCGGUUUAGAGCAAGUGACAAAAAGUUUGGUGGUUGGUACCCGAGGUCCCAAGUUCGAAUCCUAAUUAAUUCACAUUUCUAGCUAAGUUUAUUUCUAAAUAAAAUAAACAAAACGGGUAGCGUGCUACUUAUUUCUCAAAAAAAAGUAUUUCGGCCAUUAGAUCUACCCUCCACUAUCAUCCUAAUAGCACAUUACUUUAUCCAAACGGUCAAAAAUUUAUAAGUAGAAAAAAAAAAUUAUACUCAUAAAUAAGAGUAUAGCAGCACUAGUCCAUAUGGAAUUAUCUCUAAUAGUAUUCAGGGUUCAUUUUGAGAUACCCAUAGUACAUAGGAGAAAGAAGAAGGGGUGCAUCUUUAAACACUCUCUCUCUCUCUCUCUCUCUCUCUCUCUCUUCCUCUUUUAUUUUAUUUUAUUUUAUUUUAUUUUAUUUUAUUUUAAUUUUUCCGGGUUUUGGGGGUGUGAGGUAGUGGUUAGAGCUUGCUCGCGAGGGGUGUGUGUGUGUGUGUGUGUAUGUGCGUGUGGGCAGAUCUCGUGGGAGCCAUCAAAAGAAAGGGGUCUGGGUUGGCGUUAAUUACGGAAAUGGGACUCUGAGAUUUGGGAUCUCGCUGGCGCCCUCCUUGUCGCCAUGUGCCCUGUCCCGUUUUUGUAGUUCGUAUUAUUUUUUCUUUUUUUUAAUUUUUUUUUUUAGGAAAUAAAAAACGUGAGGUUUGUUGUUAUUAGGGAUGCAAAUGGUUCCGGUUCCGGGUUCCGGGUUCCGGAUUGGUAGAGCUCCCAUCCAGAUCCGUCCAGAAUGGGACGGUAAGUAGAUCUAGCAAUUUCUAUUCGUAUCGGUGGAUAUUUGUGGGUUAUCCACAAAUUUGUGGGUAUGGAUAUUAAAUUUUUUAGAAAAAACUUCAAAUAUUAUUUCUGUAAUUUCGUACUUUCUCAUUUUAAUACUUUAUGGUUUAAAAUGUAUCACUUUCGUACCCGAUGAUUUUAUUUUUCUCUUUUUAUUAUCCCCUCCUCUAAAUUUUUUUUUAAAAUUAAAACAAAAAGGUACGAAAGUGAAUAUUCGAUAAACUACAGGUGGGAUACCUGAAAUUUUUUUGGCAUAUAAUUUAACAAAAAAUUAAUGGAGGGACUGACGAACAGAAAAAAAUGAAACCAUAGGGUACUAAAUUGAUAGACUUUAAAGCACAUGGUACUAAAGUGAGAAAGUGCGAAACCAUAUGGAUGAUAUUUGAAGUUUACUCUUUUUAUAUCCAAAAAAUUAUGGAUAAAACUGAUGGUACCCCGUUAAGUUGUGGGUAUUUUUGGUAAUUCGCGGAUACGCAUAAAUACCCGCGUAUAUAUUUUUAAUUAAAAAUAUGUAAUUUUUAUGAUAUUGACUCUAUAAUCAUAAAAAAAUUAUUAAUUUUAUAUCACCACAAAAUUGGGAUAAUAAAAUAUUUUUAUAGUAUGUAAUUUAAGUGUUUUAAUAUUUUAUAUUGCUUAUUUUAUGUUGUGCUAUUUCAAAUAAUAAGUUAGGUUAUAUUUUUAAAAAUUAAAUAUAUACUAGUACAAUAACUCGUGUGAUGCAACGGAUAGAUAAUUGGAAAAAAAAAGAAGAAAACAACGACAAGAGAAGAGAAAACGGCGAUAGAAGAAGCGAUGCUGAGGGGUGGAAUUCAUCUUACUGAUGAACGAAGGCAACAGCCAAAGGAAGAGAAAGAGGAAUAGUUCGGCCUAAUACAAAAGUGUGAUUCGGUUCGGUUCAAGCUAAAAAAAAAAAAAGAAAACCCGGUUCAGUUCAAGCAAAGAAAGAAAAAAAAACUUCAAUCGGUUCGAGGUGAAGCCCACACUUGAUAGUGAUCAGUUCGAUUCAAGCAAAAAAAGAAAAAAUUUCAAUUCAAAGAUAAAAAUAUAUGGAGUAGUUGGGUCGGUUAGUCCCAAUGUAAUAGGUUGACCUGGUUCAGUUCAAGCAAAGAAAGAGAGAAACCAGAUUCGGUUUAAGUAAAGAAAGAGAAAUACAUGUGGAAGACUUGAACUGGUUCGGGGGAGCCCACACUCAACAAUGAUCGAUUCGGUUCAAGCAAAUAAAGAGAAAGGACUUGAGCCGGUUUAGGAUGGAGCCCACACUCAAUAAUAAAGAGAAUGUUGCCAUGUGGCAAAUUUAGGAGAAAUAAUGUAUAGGUAUAGAUAAAUAUAGAUAUAGAUGUGUUUUGCAUUUGUAACAGGAGCAAAAAAAGAUAAAAAAAAUCUUGCAGGUAACUUGCAUGCCCACCCGCGCUCCCGCCAACGGGUAUGGCUAUUCAAAAACUUGUGGGUAAAAUUUUAUCCAUGCUCAUGUGAUCUGCGGGUAGAAUGAUCCAUCCGUGGGUUAUCCAAUCCACUCGUUUGCCAAGUCUAGUGAUAAGUAAAAACAAAAAAUAUAAAAAAAAAUAUUAUCCAUUUCCAAUCCGCCCUAUUCUGCCAAGUAAAUGAAACGGUAAGUACAAGAUCCCCUUUUUUUUUAUCUGUUCUGAUUCGCUAAAAAUCAACUUUUCAGGCUCCCGAUCCAAUCAUUCCCGAAUGAGGCAGUAAGUGAAGGGCAAAAAUAAGAUUAAAAUUAUUCUACUUUGAAUCUGUUCCGACUUGACAAAAAAAUAGAGUAGAAUGUGAGGACUCUUGUUAUUAGGGACUGUGUUGCUUUUGUAUCGAUUUGUUGCAAAUUGCGCAAGGAAUAAAAUUGAGUUAUGAACUAUUAUCCCCCAUAGAAUUUGAAAAUUAUAUUAUAUAUAUAUUAGGUUUAAAUAUGGAAUAAAAUUAGGAUACUGCUUCUGCAUUGUUUUCAGGAUAUUUAAAUUAACGAGCUAUGCAGUUAAAUUUGAUUUGGACUGUUUGAACUUUCUAGUUUUUGAAUUUUACAAUUAUAAAGUUAUAAAACGUCAGUUAUCUAGUGAUUAAGUGAUCUCAAAUUACCGACUGUCUCUGACACAAGUGACAAAGGGCUUGAUGGUUGAUACCUGAGAUCCCCAGUUCGAAUCCUAGGUGAUUCGCAUUCCCAGCUAAUUUUAUUUUUAAAAGAAAUAAACGAAGCGGGUAGCAUGUUACCUGUCUCUCUUAGAAAAAAAAGUGAUCUCAAAUUUAUUUUAUAUUAGUCACUAAAAAUUAUUAAUUUACCUAUCUCUUUCGAGAAAAAAAAAAAAGGAAGUGAUCUCAAAUUUAUUUUAUAUUAGUUACUAAAAAUUAUUAAUUUUGAACUAUUUGAAAAUUAGGUACAUGAUAUCGUAAAAUCAUAGAAUUCAAACUUAAGAAGUUUAUAUAGCCUAAAUUAAAUUUAAUGACUCUGAUGCAUUAAUGCAAAAUAAAAGCUGAGCAGCAAAAUUUUUUAAGUAUUAAGACUUUAAUAUUUCCACAUUUCCUUUUAUGAUUGAACAUUCAAAUUGAUGAUUGAUACCAUUGUCUAUGAUCUAAGGUUUUAAUUUAGUUGAGUAGUAACCAAAUUUUAUUAAUUCUAAAAAUUAUUUUUUAACUAAUCAAGUGGUUUCAAAAGUGAAUAGUCAAAGCUGAACAAUCUUUUAAAAAUAGAGAAUAGAAUCUUUCCAUUCAAAAUGGGAAUUGUAAAUUUUGAUAUAGAUAGUUAAUUAAAAGCGUUUACAGUAAAAAAAAAAAUUUAGGCAUUUGAAUUAUUUUACACCGUUAAGCGAGUUAUUUUAUACCGUUAAACGAAAAACACCUGAUUUAAAUAGCAAAAACACCUGAUUUAGGUGACAUGAUAUCAGAGCUAACUUUAAACCACUUUAUUUUCUUUAAUCGUAAGUUUGGUUGCAUGGAAUGAACGAUUUCAGCGAUUUUCAUUCGGACAUCAUUUUAAGCUAAAACUUUUAAUUUCAUGUUGGAAUGAGAAUUUUCAACAAUGCUAUUUUAAGCCUAUAAGUUUCCGAUCUGUUAUCGUAAAUAGCAAUGCUCCUGUACUCUUAAAAAUAUUGGUGUAAAACUUAUAUUUUACUCCCGUAAAGAUCAAUAUUUUCAUACUAAUCUUAUCAAUAUUUUUUUAAUAUUAAAAAAUUUAUCUGGAUAGAUGUACAUCUUAAACUCUAUCAUUCAAGAGUUUAAAAUUUAUUUAUUUAUCUUUUAAUAAAUAACGUGCUAUCGCUUUAUUCAGUGAAAAAAUGAUAGGAUUGAGACAACUAUAUACAUGUCCAAUGACCUAAAAAGUUACACAAAACAACAAAAGAAUGCUACCAAACAAUGUUCCCAAAAGAUUUUACUUAACCUUAUAUUCUUUCCAAAACCUCCUGAGAUAUCUAAGUACAACAAUUGUCCCAAGUUAUUUUUCCUUUUAGAUUUAUAGCAUUAAAUUAAAAAAAAGGGUUGAUAAUACAAGUAGAUAAAAAUAUGAAUAUAGACAAUAACUUAUAAGUAGCACUGCUCUAUUAAAAAUUUGGAUAAACUUUAAAUACCACCUCUGUGAUUUCGUAUUUUUUUACUUUAGUAUCAUAUAGUUUAAAGUGUAUCAAUUUAAUAUUCUGUAAUUUUAUUUUUCUCUUUUCGUCAGCGCCUUCAUUAACUUUUCAUUAAAUCAUAUGCAAAAAACUUCAGAUACCCCUCUAAUAGUUUAUUGAAUAUUUACUUUAAUACCCUUUAGUUUUAACUUUAUCACUGAUUUAACGAAAAUAAUUAAUAAAAAGGAUAACAAAAAGAGAAAAAUAAAACUAUAUGAUACAAAAGUAAUACACUUUAAAUCACAGGCUAUUAAAAUGAGAAAGUACGAAAUCACAGAAGUAAUAUUUAAAAUUUUUUCUAAAAAUUUAAAAGAAUUGUCGAAAUUCUUGGAUGGAUAGCAAAAAAAAGUUUACAUUUUUUUUUUUUUGAAAUGUACUAAUAGCAUUUCUCUAUCGUAAAUUACUUUAUGUUUAGUUUAAUAUUAAAUGCUAACUUUUACACGUACUUGUGGAUGGAAUUAUCAUAGCAGAAAAAAUAAAACGAUAGAAACUUGCUAACCACUGAUUAGACAAUGUUGGAAAACGUUACUUUAUAAGUAGAAAAAGUGUUAUCCCUUACAUGUAAUUUAUUAGUUUGCACUCAAAGUGCCUUUUUUUUAACUGAAUUUUGGAUUAGUUAUUCUUUUUGGCGAGCUUUAAAAGGGGCUAUUUGGUUCUCCGAAAAAGUGUAAAAUUUUUUUUUUCUGAGAUAUAGGAAAUUUUUUUCGUAGUUCUUCGCCGGCUUUGUUGAAAGAAAAAUAGCUUUUGUGGUGUUUUCGUUUUUAAAAAAAAAAAAUGAAAAGGAAAACUCUAGUUUCUUGUAUAAGUCGGAAUUUUCUUUUUUUCAAAAAUACUAGUUUUUCUUCAAACCAAAUGGACGAAAACUUAAAACGAAGUUUUCCAUGAAAUUUUUUUUUUUUGAAAAAUUUUUUCCAUACCUUUUUUGUGAGAUCAACAAGUCCAUUUGGUUCAACAGAAAACUUUGAAAAAUAAUUAUUUGUGAAAAAAAAUUCAGUGAAAAAAGAUAUUAUGUUUAUAGUGUUUGGUUUGUAGGAAAAAAAAGUAAUUUUUCAUUAACAUUUAUUUGGUUGAAAGAAAAAAAUUCAUAUUUAUUUGGUUUGGUGGAAAAAAUUGAAUAAAAAAAAUUUUAGGCAACUUGUGUUUUCGUUGUUCAUCGAAAAAUGGUGGAAAAUAAAAACUUCAAUUUUUCUCCAAAUCUGUAAAAGUAUUUUUAUAAUUUUUUGUAAUGCAAAACAAAACAAGCAGAAAAAUAUUUUCAUAUCAAAAUAACUUUUCAGUUCAUUUUACGCAGAACUAGAUGCCCCCUGAGCGAAAAAUCAGUAGUUGCACCGAAUUUCUCUAAAAGAAGCAAUUUAAUCACACACAAUUAUGAGUACACUAUACUUUUAGAUGUAUAUAUAUUCAAAUAUGCUGUUUGAUUUUAUAUAUUUGUGUCUAUAGUUAGAAAUUUAGAAUUGUGAGUAGAGAUGACAAUUUUUUCUGUAGACCUCGUCAAAAUCGAAUGUGGAUAAAAAUGCUACUCUCCGUCCUGCAAAAUCUAUGAUCCCCGUAAAAUAUAUAAUAUAUGAUUACAUAGGUAGAUUGCUAAUUUUGAUCCUUUUAGUAUAUAUUUAAUUUAUUCAGAUAUUUUUAACAUAUUUAAUAUUUCAUACAAUAUAUUAGCUAAAUAAUAUUUGAUUGUUAUAUAUUUUUAAUAAUUCAAUUUGUUAUACUUAAUAGUUUAAAAUAAAUAAAAAAAUAAUAUUAAUAAUUGAACAAAAUUUAAAUUAAUUUGAAUUAAAUUUAAUUAAAUUUUAAAUAAAAAAUAAUUUAAUUUUUUUUAAUAUGCAGGGUUCCAAUAGGGACCGGGACAAAUUAAGACCCUAUUUACCUAUAGGGACGGGACGAAAAAUAGUCUCCAUUCUUAAUUAUAAUCAAUUUUGAGCGUAAUUUUAACUGUUGCUGUAACGUCCCUAAUAAUCCCACAUCGGAUGGGAUACUGAUUCCAAUCAGUUUAUAUGAGACCUACACGCUAAUAAUAAUAACCGGACUUAAGCAUUUUGGGCCGGUGGUUUCGCCCAACGAGUUAUUAUUGCUAGCGGGUAGGGUCGUUGCAAUUGGUAUCAGAGCCGAAUACCGGCCGGAAGUAUGAGAGCUUGUCUGUGAUCUGAUUGACGUCAGGGUCUAAACAAGUGGUUUGGGCCCAACGAGUUAUUGUUGCUUGCGGGGAGUUUGACGUCAGGGUCUAAACAAGGGGAGUUUGUAAGCCGGUGGUUUGGGCCCAACGAGUUGUUGUUGCUAGCGGGUCGGGUCGUUGCAGCUGCACAUCAUAUUAAUGUAGAUAUAUUUUUUAUAUAGUUGAGUAGAACAUCAAACAAGGGGAGUUUGUAAGCCGGUGGUUUGGGCCCAACGAGUUAUUGUUGCUAGCGGGUCGGGUCGUUGCAGCUGCACAUCAUAUUAAUGUAGAUAUAUUUUUUAUAUAGUUGAGUAGAACAUCAAUACUACUAAGAUGAUAAUAGCUAGAGAGAGAGAGACAUAGUUUCUUAGCUACUUUUUUCUUGUUGAAUGAUCACUAUAAUGCAAUAAUAGUGAUAUAGUUAUUAUUACUAUUAUUAUUAUCAUCAUCAUUAAUUCACAAAAAAUCUUGAGAUAAAAUUUUAAUAUGUUGGAUGUUAUCUACAAAUUAAAUAUGAUUUUCGCAUAAGUGAUCAUAAGAUUUAAAAAUCUACUAUUAAAACAUUAAUAGUCACAAAAAUUAACAGUGCUAAAAUGCUUAUCGUUGUUUAAAUAAUUAAAAUAACUAUGAAACAUGAAAAGUUUUUAGUCUAAACUUUAAUUAGGGGAAUUGAUAAUUUCAGAACAAAGUUUGAUAUUGUCAGAGCAAAAAAUCUAAAUAUGAUUAGAAACGUAUUUACUCUGGCAAUAUCAAAUUUAGCUCUGAAAAUAUUAAUUUUUUUUAAUUAGCCCCUAUAUUUGUCUAUAUUACACUUUAUUAUCUUGUGAUAUAAAAAAAUUUUCUAUGGUUUUAUAUUUAUUCAUUAUAAAAAACCUUUCAUUAAAGUCGGUGGCAAAGUGUUUUAUAUUACAAUAUAGUAAAGUACAGAACAAAUUAUAAGUUACUAAAAUACUAUAGACUAAAAUAUAGAAAAUUUUCUAUAAAUCUUCACUUUUGCACUUUUUCCCCUUACCUUUUAAAAAUCUCUAUUUUACAUUUUUAAAAGUUAAAAUUAUAGUACUUAAUCUCGCAUUGUUACUAUUUCGUCACCUAUCCAUUAUAUAUUGCUAUAAUUUCUAAGGAUAUAUAUAGUUGGUAUCCGAGUAAGUCAGUUGUAGUACACAAUUUAUUCACAGAGAAAUGAGAAAAUAGUAAUGGUACUAAGUUAAGUGCUUCCAUUUAAAAAUUUAAGGAGCAAAAUAGAGAUUUUGAAAAAAAAAAAAAAACAAAAUAAAGUGCAAAAAUACAUAUUUAUAAAAAUAUUUUCUGUAUUUUAGAAAAUAUAUUGGUAAAAUGUAUUGUUUUAUUAUUCUUUAAUUUGCAAAUCAUAUCAUUUUCACACCAAAUCUAGUAAUAGGCCUUUAUAAUAAAUUAUAAAUAAAACUAUAUGAUAAUAAAGUAAAAUAUUUCAAACAUAGGGUGACCAAAUAAAAGAAAAUUACUCUAAACAUAAAUACUCUAAACAUCUGGAGACAAUAUAUUUAUCUCUCAAAGUAUUGUAAAUCACGUUUAAUAAUUUUAAAUUUCAACUUAAGAACUUUCAAAUUUGUCACCUAUCUAUAGAACAUGGUCUACGCAAUAAUUUCUCAAAAUAAGGGUCUGCUUCGAUAUCUUGUAAUUUUAUUGUAGAGUAAUUAUAUACAUAGUAUAUGUUCGAUAAAUUCGGACACUACAACAUUUAAUAAAUAUAGAGGUCUACAGAUUUGAGCUCUUUUUAUUUUACGACAAAUUCAUAAUAUUAUUUGAAUAUUUUUGUUUUUCAAUAUCCAAAAAAGCAUUCAAACAUUCCUUUAUAAUUAUAAAUAUUAUUUUUAAUAAUAUAAUAAAAAUACUCUAAAUUUUUAGUGACGAACGCACAAUUACAAAAAAAAAAAAGAAAAAGAGGUCCCAUUCUUUGUCUCUUCUAGGAGAUUCUACUCAUGCUAAUUACAAAUAAAAUAAAAAAAAAAUCAGAGUCCAUUUUUUAAAAUAAUCGUGGUAAUUUAAAUCCCAAUUGGGUCACUUAUUACACUUGAUUUUUUAAAAAAAAAUUUCUACGAAACCUAACUGUAGUGUCCCUGAUGUUUGGUUGUCUGUGAGUUUUCAGCAUCUAAGUCUUGUCGACACAUCUGAAGAGUGUCGGGACAAGUUAGAAUCAUUUUGGCGCGAAAUAGAUGCAAAACGGACUCAACGCGAGGCGAGAGUGGAGUUCUAACAUUGAAAUCCGCAAAGUGCAGAAUUUCAGUGUUAAGUAUCGGUACCAGAGAGAGGUACCGGUACCCCAGUGGAAUUACAGAACAGGAUGCUCUCGGGUUUGCGUAUCGGUACCAGAGAGGGGUACUGGUACCCCAGUGGAAUUACAGAAUAGCAUGCUCUCGGGUUUGCGUGAGGGGAUACUGAGUACCAUCUGACCUGUCGAGUACCAGUAUCGAGCCCGGGUACCGGUACUGUAUCGGGUUGGUACCGAUACCCAGUGUGCGAGAUUGCGGGCUGAAGGCCCGAGUACCGGUAUUCCGGUGGAUUACCAGUACUCCAGCUGGAUUUUUGAGUUGGUGAGGGCAGUUUGGUCUUUCGAAUUGACGAUCAACCCAAUAUUUAUCCUUAGCCCUUAUAUAGGUGUAGAGAGCUCAGAGAGGAAGACUUUUAUUCUACUCCCUCUCUCUCUCUAGUUUUGGACGUAACUCGUGGUGAAGGUUGCGGCUCGAGCUCAGGUGAUUUUCGACGUCGAUACGGAAGGUCGUUCGAGCGUGUGUGCGUAGCAGUUGCGCCAUUGGAGGCCGGGCAAGCCCGUGGAUUUCCUCCUUUCGACUUCUCGCCGUGGUUGGACGAGCUUUUUGAGGUGGAUUGAAGUUUACCGAAAUCAUCGGAUUUCCUCCUAAGUCGAGUUUUUGUCAGCAUGUGUAUUUCUUGUGUAGUAUCAUGUUAGUAGUUCAAUUCACCGAUUUGCAUAAUUUUUUAUGAAAUAUGAGCUGGAGCUUUAAAUUCUAAAUUCGUUUUACAUGUUGGACUUGGAAUUGAUUUAGGAGAAAAUUAUUGAACCCUACACUGUCAUUUUCUAAAUAUCAGAAAUAUUUUGGAAUGUUCCCUUUUAGUGAAAAUCUAUAAACAUUUGUUGCAUUCAUUCUAUAAUUAUACUUUUACCACCUAAUAAAAUAAAAACUUAUGCUGUUUAUUAUCAGAAAAAUAAUUUUCAUAAUUUUAACAAAAUUUUUAAAUUGAAGAAUAAAACAACAAAAGUGAUAGAUCACACAUACUUAAUAAGAAAUUAUAAAAAAACGAAAGAAUUACCUACAAAAUUAAAAGCUAUCUAAAUCAUGAAAGAAAUAAAAAAAUAAUAUGUACUAAUAUAUUGUUCUACAAGGAAGAGAGAAGAGUCAAAGUUAUUAUUUUAUUAAUUUAACUGGUAUUUAACUCCCUUUUAACACAGCCUAAUUUAGUGUUUAUUAACAAAUUUAACAAUAGGAGCAUUUAUAGUAAAUUUAUAUAUUUAGAGAUAUAUGCAUAAUGUUUAUAAAAUUUUAAAAGGUUAAAAAUUCUAGAAAUUUGCUGUAAAUUUCUUUUCUUUUUUUUUUUCAUCCCGACAUUUAAAAACCUACCUUUUGUAAGUUCAAAAUUUUAAAUAAAAUGAUCAAAUUGCCCAUAUGUCUGUCAUAAAGGAAAAAAAAAUAAAAUUUUAAUAUAUUUCUAUUAUUUUAAUAAAUAUUUCUUGUAUAAAUUAUAUUAAAUAGAUAAAACAGUGACGAAAUCCUGACGAACGUAAGAUAAGUGCAUCAACUUAAAAUUUGGCCAAUUUGCAUAAAAAAUCCACUUAUUUUGGGCUUUUGCAAAACCGGGCCACCUUUUUCGUUUUUGCAGAUUCGGUCCGCUUUUUCAGCAAACUAACCAAAAUACCUUUUUUACUUUUUCUCUUUCCUCUUUCUCUCUCCUCUUCGUUUCUCUCGUUCUUUUUUUUUUUCUCGCCGGCAGAGCGGCGGCGGAAACGGUCCGUCUUGCCUCUCACCCUCAUUCUCUCGCCCUCGCCCUCGCCCUUGCCCUCGUCCACGCACCCCUCACCUUCCUCGCCUCCAACCCCGCCAAGGCCGCGCAACGACUUUUUUUUUUUUUGCUUUUUUCUUUUCUUUUCUUCUCCGACUCUUCUCCACCGUCUCCGACGACGACGCCUCUCUCGUCCUUCCCCGCCCUUCUCAUCUCUCCCUCUCCCUCAUUCUCUGCGCCUUCCGACGACGGCAUCUUCGCCGCGCCGACGUCGACGUCGACGUCGACACCGUGGAGGUCACUGCGGCGCUAUAGCGUCGGAGCGGGGUCCUUAGCGGCGUCGUUGCAGCACCGUGGCUGUUGGCAGAAAGGGUAACAAAAAAAAUUAUAGAAAAAAUAGAAAAAAAAAAAUAAGAUAAAAAAUUAUAAAAAAGAAGGUGAACAUAAAUUGCAUCGCUUAACUGUAAAAAAAUUAUAAGUUGCACUACUUAAGAUGUAAACUGCAGCUUUAAGAUGAAAACUACACUAUUUAAACGAAAAUUACACUCUUUGAGAAAUAUUUACACUGUUUUUCUUCUUAUUACACUCUUUUAGAUGUAAACUGCAUCCAUUAAAAUGAAAGUUACACUCUUUAAACAAAAAGUUGGCACAGUUUCUCCUCUUGUUCACCAUUUCUUCUCUUGUUACACUAUUUUUUAUCUUAAACUGCGCACCGUUAAGGAUAUUUAUACUAUUUCUCCUCUGUUUGUUUUGCAUGUCUCCUCUUGUUGCACCAUUUCUGUGUAAACAGAGAAGAAAUAGUGCAAUAAGAGGAAAACAGUGCAACAAGGGAGAAACUGCACUGUUUUAAAAGAUAUAUAUACUGUUCUCUCCUUGUUGCACCAUUUCUGUGUAAACAAGAGAAAAAAUAGUGCAACAAGAGGAGAAACUGUACUGUUUUAAAUAUAUAUCUAUCUGUUCUUCUCUGUUUGCACUGUUUCUCCUCUUGUUGCACCAUUUCUGUGUAAACAAUAGGAGAAAUAGUACAACAAGCGGAGAAACAAUGCAAAUGAGAGGAAAAACUGCACAUUUUUAAAGAUAUUUAUACUGUUUCUCCUUUUGUUGCCACUGUUUCUCCUCUUGUUGCACCAUUCUGGUGUAAACAAGGGAGCAAAUAGUACAACAAGAGGAGAAACAGUGCAACAAGAGGAGACACAGUAUAAUAUAUUAAAAGGUGCAGUUUAGGAUAAAAAAUAGUAAAAUUUUCGUAUCAAGAGUAUAAUUUUAUCUUAAAGCAGCCAGUUUAAUCUUAAAAGUGCAACUUUAUAAUUUUUUUUGUAAUUAACGAUACAAUUUCAUCUUCAUCCUUUUUUUAUAUAAUUUUUUAUCUUUAUUUUUUUCUGUUUUUUUUAUAAUUUUUUUUGUCACCUUCUCUGCCAACAGCUACGGCGCCUGUGACGACGCCGCUAAGGACCCCCUGCUCCGAGGCUGUAGCGCCGCAGUGACCUCUACGGUAUUGACGUCGGCGCCGGCGAAGAUAAAUCGUCGUUGGAGGCGGCAGAAAAUGAGGGAGAGGGAGAGAUGAGAAGGGCGGGGAAGGGCGAGAGGCUUCGUCGUCGGAGACGGUGGAGAAGAGUCGGAGAAGAAAAGAAAAGGAAAAAGCAAAAAAGAAAAGUCGCGUCGCGGCCUUGGUGGGGUCGGAGGCGAGGAAGGUGGGGGGUGCACGGACGAGGGCAAGGGCGAGGGCGAGAGCAUGAGGGUGAGAGGCGAAACGGACCGUUUUUGCCUCCGCUCCGCCUACGCUCUGCCGGCGAGAAAAAAAAAAAACGAGAGAAACGAAGAAGAGAGAAAGAGGAAAGAGAAAAAGUAAUAAGUGUAUUUUGGUCAGUUUGCUAAAAAAACGGACCGAAUCUGCAAAAACGAAAAAGGUGGCCCAGUUUUGCAAAAGUCCAAAAUAAGUGAAUUUUGUAUGCAAAUUGGCCUUAAAAUUUUUAGGGAUAAAAUAAAAAUUUUUAAAACUCAAAGAAGAAAAAUAAAAAAGUGAAUAUUUAUUUUCUAAAAAAUAUUUCAAUAGGCCUACAAUUGCUCCCAAAACAAAUAUUAAAAAAAGGGUUAAUUUCACAUAGGUCUUUGGAAAUAUAGUAAAUUCAAAUAUAUUUCUACAAAAUUCAACUUUCAUAUAUUAUCCCUAUAAAAGUUCUAAUAUUUUCAAAUAUGUUCUCUCUGGUUUGUUAUUGUCAAAAUACAAUUUUUUUUAUAAGUGAAAUGAUCUUUUUGCCAUCAUAAAUAUAUUCCUCCAAAAGUCUCAACUAUUAACUGAAAAGUGGUAAAAAGGUUAAUUCACCUCAUUAACUAACUAUGGUUAAGUAUUUUAUCUAUGGUUAAUAAAUUUUUUCUAACAGAUUCUAACUGCAUGAACAUAUUUGAAAAUAUCAGGACUUUUAGAGUGACAAUAUAUAAAAAUUAAAAUUUAUAGGAAUAUAUUUAUAAUUCACUAUAUUUGGAAGGAUCAGUAUGAAAUUAACCCUUAACAUAACAUACAGGGACAUGAUUGGGGCUGGGAGCAAUUUCGUAAAUAAAACUAUAUUUAGGGACAAUGUUGAAAACAGGGGUACUUAUGAGAUUUUGGGGCAUUGCCCGGUUGCCCCUAGAAUCGUGGGGUCAACCCCAGAGUUUAAGUUGUACCCGCACCACACGACCUAUGUGUGAUUUCACAAGUGGGCGAUCCGAGGUGAAUUAAUGCCCGAAAUGACUGAAAUUACUAAAUUACCCCUCAAUUCUGGCUUAUAUCUAGGGACAAAAAUUUGCUGGGCAUCGUCCCAAACUAUUUAGUUUGUGAACGAUGCGGAUGGGUGCCACGUAGCCCAUCUGACGGCACCGAUAAAAGAAAAGAAAAAAAAAAUUGAUGCCCUAUGUUUAUAAAGAGAGAGAGAGAGAGAGAAAAAGCAGCAGAAAGAGAGGAGGGCGACCGUCAGAUGGGCCACGUGGCGCCCAUCCGCAUGGUCCCCAAACUAAUAGUUUCGGGGCGCUGCCCUUUUGUCCCAUAUUUAGGAACUAUGUGGUCUAAGAUAAAAAAAGAUUAAAAAAAUUUGAUUGCUACGAAAUUAAAUUGUGUUUAGAAGAAUUGAUUUUGCUUGAAACUGUAGAGUGUUUAGCUAAAUCUAGCAGAACACGACUUUUUUGAAACGAUUUUAUAAAGCAAUUUAGCAAUUUUUUUUAUUCUUUACAAUAAUAAUUAUUUGGCUGAAUUUUAUUUUAAAAUCUGAAUUAAAAAUUUUAAUUUGCCAUUUGAAUUUUAAAAAUUUAAAUUUAAAAUCUAAAUUACAAUUUAAAAUGACAUUGAUAGUUAAAAUCUAAAUUUUAAAUUUUAAAUUUUAAAAUUUUAAAAUUUUAUUUUAAAUUUUAAAUUUGAAAAAUAUGAUUUUAAAUUUUAAAUUUCAAAUAUUGAAAUUUAGAUAUUAAAUUUCAAUAUUUACAAUUUUAUAAUUUUAAUUUUUUAUUUUAAAAUUUGAAACUUAAAUUUAGAUUUUAAAUUUUAAAAUUUUAAAAUUUAAAUCUAAAUUUUAAAUUUCAAAACUUUAAAACUAAAAAAAUUUAAAAUUUUCAUUUUAAGCUUCAAACUUAAAUUUUAUAUUUAGAUUUUAAAUUUCAUGUUUUGAAUUUUAAAUUUUAAGCUUUCAAAUUUAAAAUUUAUAUUUUAAAUUUAACAUCAAAUUUUAAAUUUUGGUUUAUUUUAAAAUUCAAAAUUUUUACUUUUUAUGUCAAAUUUUAAUUUGAAUUUAAAUUUUAAAACAAAAUUCAACAAGAAAAGUUAUUAUUUGCCAGCAGCAAAAAGAUUUUGCCAAUCAACUCUAUAAAAUUAUAUUAAAAAUAUCGGUUUCAUGUUAAACUCAGUCAAAGGCUCUACAGUUUUUACUUAAAAUUAAUUCUUCAAACUAAAAUAAAUUCUACAGAUAUUAUUUUUUCAGAUUUAGGCCAAAUAACUCCUAAAUCUUAUACCCUAGCCUUCUAAUGAUCCAUACUAACUAACUUGUCUUAUCAUUUUUUAUGUUUAACUAAAACAUCAAGGGUACGUUUGGUUCAUCUUUUUUCACUUAAAAUUUGAAAUUGGAAUAGAUGAUUCCAUUUUGUAGGUGUUUAGUUUAAGGAGGUUAGUUGGAUCGAGAUUUUUUCAAUCACUCCUUUUUUUAAUCCAACCUCAGAGGCACGAUUGGAAAUUGAAUCCAAAAAUGAAUACUUGCUCCAGAAUUAUCUAAAUUCAAUUUUUUAACUUAAUUGUUAAUUAAAAUAUAAGUUUAAAUUCAAAAUUGAAUUUUUAAUUUUGAUUUGGUACAUAAAUUAAAAUUUAAAUUCAAUCAAGCAAUUUGAAUUUGAUCUAUAAAUUUAAAUUUUACGUUCAAAUUGAAAAUUUCAAAUUUUAUUUUAAUUUUAUAUUAAAUUUAUGGAUUUAGAUUGGAAUUUAAAUUAUAAUUUUUAAGUUUGAAUUUGGAUCAAAUCAUAAAUUUGUAUUACGUUUUGAAUUGUCAACUCAAUUUUAAAUUUUAAAUUUUUAAAAAUUUACAUUUAUGUCACGUCCCAGAUUGCCACGUUUCUCCGGGCACGCUAACAGACUCGCCGUAUAAACAGGAAUUUUUCGUGUAUACGAAGCGAUAGCUGUACCUAUAUAAAGAAUAUAGCUGCACAUGAGGUAAAGAGCUGCUAUAACUAAAACAUGUAUAUAAAACAUAGAGGAUCCAAUGUACAUACAAAAGCUCCGAAUCAACCUCACUCCAGCGAGUACACAAUCCAACAGUAUGUACAUGAACCUCAAAACUAUCUUUGAUGGGCGCUUCUCUAGCAAACGACCAGGGCUGGUAGGAGUUUAGCUCGCGAUUCUCUUACCACGGUCGGAAACAGCAACAGCAGUAGCCGCAGAUAAAGGCUCUACAAAAAGGUGGUAACAACUGGAUGUGAGAACUACUGCAAAAUAGAGUAGUUCUUAGUGGGUACCGUCACCGACCUCAACGGCCCACCCACUAAGUCUACAGCAACAAUAUGUACAGGAUAGUAAGGAAAGUUGGAAAGAACUCUACAGCUACAUGCCCCUAUACUAUCGCUACCAAAAUAAGCUAUCUGUAGACAUAAACAAGCAUCACUAGCUACCACUGACCCAAUCUCACACGAGCUGCCCAAACAGACCCACCCUGCCUAUAAUCAAGCUAUACCGCACGCCACCCACAGGGAUGGCCGGUUCAAGUAAACUAUCCAAACAGGACUGCUGCGAUAUCAACGCAAGUCAAAGGCUCACUCCGGAGCGACACUCGUGGGCGCGACCCAACUAAGUAUGCAAGCGUGUCUCUGCCGAGCUCAAACAGCCUCACACAGGCUAUAGUCAAUGCAAAUGGGUUAAACUGGUCUAACAAAUAAAGCUCACGUACCCUUGGCACAACCUGAUACAAAAUACAAAAAUCUGGGUCCACCGUCGGUCCCGACGGCAUCCGACAGUCUAAUACAGUCUAACUCUACUGUAAAAACAUACUCGGCCCCUCAGCACGAGCGUAAUCUUAACCUGCACUAGUCUGGAUAUCCACCUCACACUAACAGCAGUGAUACAAAAGAACAACAGCUCCUAAAGCUAAAUUCGGUUACUUUUCGAAAAGUAACAGUGUAGGUUUAGCAAAUUUUCUCCGAAGUCAAUUCCAGGUUCAGCAUAUAAUUUAACUAAAUUCUAGAUUAUGCUCCCAAAACUCAUAUUUCAUAAAACAUGCAAAUUCUGAAUUUGAGCUACUAUCAUGAUAACCGAAACAAGAACUACAUGCCAACAACGCUACGACUUAGGAGGAAAUCCGACGAUUUCGAUAAAUAUCAACCCACCUCGAACGCUCAUCCAAUGUCAGCUACAAGUUGAAAGGAGAAACUCUGCAUGCUCGCUCAACCUCCAACGGCCUCAACUGCGAUGACCCACGCGCACGAACGGUUUCCUAGAAAGUAAAGAGUCCAAAUGAGCUCGAUCCUCGACUUCCCAACGAACGGCGUAUACAAGCUAGAGAGAGAGAGGAGAAGAGGGGAAGUAUGCUGGUUCUCUAAGCUUCUCAGGUGGAUAAAUAGGCUAGGGGUGGUUGGCGAUACAAUCGACAACCAAAAAAGAUCAAAAUACCCCUUACCAACUCAAAUCCGCCUUAGGGGUAUCGGUACUCAACUUGGGUAUCGGUAUUCGCCACGCCAGUUAGCAAAGUUCGCGCGCUGGGUACCGGUACUAGCCCGAUACAGUACCGGUACUUAGUCCCAGUACCGGUACUCAGCAUCAAAUUGCACAAACUCGAGAGCUCCCAGUUCUGAAAUCCCUCUGGGGUUCCAGUAUUUCUCUCCGGUAUCGAUACUCAACACUGAAAUCCUAUACUUUGCAGAUUUCAGUAUCAGAGCUCUACUUUUGCACUGCGCCGAGUCCGAUUUGCGUCUAAUUCGCACCAAAACGACUCCGACUUGUCCCAACACCCACUAGACGUGUCGACAAGCAACAGAUGCUGAAGUCUCUCAGACCGCUAAACCCCAGGAACACUACAAUUUAAAAGUUUGAUAUAAAAUUUUAAGAUUUAAAUUUUAGUUUGAAUUUAAUUAAUAAAUUUAAUUCUAUAUUCUGAGUUGUGAACUCAUUUUUAAAUUUAAUCUUAUAGUUUUAUAUUUUAAUUUAUUUUUUAUUUUCGAUAUUUUUCUAAUAAUUAUUUUUUUUUUCAUCUCAACCAAACAAUGAAGAUAGGAAUCAAUUACUCCGAUUUCAAUUGUUAUUAUAAACCAAACAUAUUAAAAAAUUUACCAUUCUGUUUCUGAUUCCAGUCUAUUAUCAUUUCCAUCCCGAUUCCAAUUACUAUUAUGAAUCAAAUGCGCCCCAAAAGAGUUUUCUCAACCCUUAAAUCUAAAGGUGUAAGACGCGCCCCAAAUGGCAUUUUUCUAAGUAUCAACUCUGUUAGAUAUGCCUCAAAUUUUGGUUAUUAAGUUCAAUUUUGUACAUCUAAUAUGCCAACAUUUUCGCGGUGCGACAAAUCUGAGAAAAUAAUUUGUAGAGGAAAAAAAAGAAUAUUUGUGGUGGAAGUAGAGGGCUCGGGCCAAUGAGAACUACUUUCUUCUUUUUGCCCUAGAAGUAGUACAAAGUAUUAUAUUUUUACAACAGAUAAUUUCAUCAAUACCCCUCUAGGAGACAGUAAUUUCAUAAAUACCUCUCUAAAUUAAAAAAAUAUCAAUAAUACCCCUCUAAAAAGCAAAAAUAUUCACAAUUACCCUUAAGACUAACAUUCCGUUAAAAGGUCAUCUAAAAUUCUAUAAAUACCAAUUUUACCCUUAUUACUAAUUUAAUUUAAUGUUGAAUAAUUCAACAUUCUCUUUAAAAUUUUACAAUUAAAGAUCUACAGUCUAUUAAGUAUAAUAAUUAAAUCUUGUUAUGAUUUUUCGCUUUCAAAUUAUAUAAUAGUUGUAAUGCAAUUGUCCAUUGUAGUAUUAUUCAACAUUAAAUAUUUCAAGAUUUUUUUUUGAAUUUUAUUUAAAUAACUUUCAUAAGUCAUAUUAAAAACAUUUUGAUAUCAAAAUUCUUGAUAUUAAAGUAUUUUUCAUAUGACCGGCUUAAGCAACAGUUUUCUAAUUGAACAUUUAUUGUCAACAAAAGAAGUAACAUUGUAUGAAGACCCUCUCAACUAUUAGUCCACUUCAGCAUGGUCUUAACUUUGAAUUUUAUAUAUAUAUAUAUAUAAUAUUAUAUAUAUAUAUAUAAUAAUUAUUAAUAUAUAUAGUGGACUGCAUGCCGGAAGCAGAGCCCUCCGUGCUUCAAAUUGUUUUCGAUGUUCGGACUUUCGAUCGACGAUCGUCCAUAGAGUUGAUUAGCAGUAUUUGAAUACGCAUAAAAAAUAAAUUUAUACAAUUUGCAUAUCAUUUUGACUAGUGAUCGAAGGGGCUCAAAAUCAAUAUUUUAAUGUGUUGGUUAUCGCCUUUCAAUUACGGGUAGAAAAAAAUCCAAAUCACACUGAUUUGAAAGAAAUUCUUAUAUCAUAUAAAACAGAUCAAUAACUUUGAUCUAAAAUUUUUAAUGAUCAGUAUAUCAUAUUUUGUAAAUUUAUUUCAGCCGUUAUUUUGAGCCCUUCGAACUAGCAAAUGAAUAGACAAAAUCUGCAAAAUUUUAUUUCAGAUAGUUAAGCUAUCAGAUCAACUCUAACGGAUGCCGAUCGUCGAUUCGAAAUCCGAACAAUUAAAAGCAACUGCAACACGAAGUGCUCCGUGCUCCAUGAAGCCAUACAGAAUCGAUGCUAAUAUAAUAUAUAUAUAACGUCCGGCUCUACUAGCUAUAAUACAGCAAGACACUUGGUGCACAGUUUUCCCGCAGUUAGAUUACCCAUCUCAUAACAUUCACAUACGCCUAGAUCAUACAUAUUUCAACCAAGAACCACUCAACCCUAGCCAGCAUACCUAACCGCACAUUCUUAAUCCAAUGCAAAAAACUUGUAACACAGGCUCGUGCAAUUAAGCAUAGACCGACUCAGAGAACAGCUACUAUGCUCAUAUAGACAAAUCAUUGGCUCACAUUUUUCAUUGGAUAAGAGAAUGUCGGUUAGGAUAUUGGCCCCUAGGGUUGAUGGGAUGUUUUGUUUUUUAGAAUAGUAUGAUACGGUGCAGUGAAAGGUAGAUCUAACGCGGAUACUCUGUACACAAGUGCUCGUGCUAUAUAGCAAUAGUAUCCAUUCCAUAAUAUAUUAGAGUAUAUAUAAAGGGCUCAAUACUCUUUAUAAUAUAUGAGCCUCUAUACCAUGAAGUAUGCUUACGAUAAUGGAGCUUCCGAAUUGACGAUCCACUCCGUUAAAUAUGAUCUAGAGUAUUUGAAACUUUUAAAAAAUAAAUUUUGUAAUUUUUCGAAAUCAUAAUAACGUCCAUCAAGUGGGCAUAAAAUGAACAGUCAAAAUUUCUAUUUUGAUCUUUAUCUAGAUAGUGAAUAAAAUUUUCUAUCAAAAAUUCAAUCGAUUCCAAUUUUUUUACACCAUUAAAAUAGCAAGUAUUCCAUAUCGACCAUUAAAAAUUGUCAAUUUUUAGAUCUUUUGAUUGUAAUGAUACAAAAAAAUUAUAAAAUUUGAUUUCUUGAAGUUUUUAAAUAUUCUAGAUAAUAUUUAACGGUAUGGAUCGUCGAUUCGGAAGCUUUAUUAUUGAAAACGACUUAUGAGUACGAAGGCGAUCGCACUCAUAAGAGUAUAGUAGCCUGACUCUCUCUCUCUCUAUAUAUAUACAUCCUCUCAACCUUAGUGAUUCUUUACUUUUGCAAUUGAGUGUUUUUUUUUUCCAACUAAGUUAAAAAUUUUAUCAAAUUCAUGUAUGAGGGAUCUCAAUUGAAAAACUUUUAACUAAGUAAAACGCAAAAACAAAACAAAAACUAAAAGUUCAAGGGUCCUAAAUGUUAAAAAAUUGAAGUUAAGGGGGUCUAUUUCAAAAUGACCUAUAGGUGAGGGGUUUCCACAUAUUUUAUCCACCAAUAACUAGUGUUAGAAAUGUUAUUUUUUAAAAGUUAGAAGGGUAUUCAUGAAAUUACUCCUUUAUUAUUUGUUAUCUAAAGAACAAUCCAACCAACUUUUUAAGCGGUAAAUUAGUCAUUUUAUAACUUUACCCUAACGCCAGUUAGAAGAAAGGAUAGCUGUGAUAAUUUUCUACAUUUGAAGGGGUAUAUAUAAUAUUUUUAAUUUAUAGGGGUAUUUGCGAUUAUUUCAUGUUUAAGAGGGCUAGUGAUGAAAUUGCCCCUUUUUACAAUAUUAUACUACCAUUUUUGUGUAGUAAAAUUUUCUCCUACUUCGCCCCUCGUUUUCUUUACUUGUGAUAAGUUUAUUUUACAGAUUGUUAUUUUUUAUUUUUAAUUGUGCGCUCGUCGUAAUAAACUCAAAAAUACAUCAAACAGAAUUCACAAUAAUAGGUUUUAAUAGCUUUAUAUAUAUGGGCUGUUCAAGGCCCUCUCUCUCUCUCUCUCUCUCUCUAUCUCUCUCUCUCCCUCUCUAAAUCACACCUAAUUAAUCAAGCUGGUUCCUUUUGGACUACAUGUGGGUUGAAAUGGUGCAGAGCCUAUGGGGCUAGAGAUGGUUUGGCAUUUGUGGUAGCAUUACUUGAAAGGGAAAAAGAAGAGUCCUGUCCACAAUCCCCAGGUCAUAAAUUUGUCACAUCAACCAUAUGGGGUUUAGCACUUGGCCUCUAUCAUGUCCCUUACCAAUUGGCCUACAAAGGAAUCAUUUUCAUAAUCAUAAUAAUUAAUUAUUAUCACCCCUGCCAAAAUAUAUGCAAAAUUAAUUGUACAGAAGGUUAUAUCGGUGAUACCACUGGUUGGAAGCGUGAUUUUUUCUAAUACGAAUUAUUGAAACUGGUAUUUAUGCUGAUGCCGAUUAUGUAACCCGCGAUUUAAAAGAAAAUAAAAUAAUAUGGAGAAAGAAUAUUGGAGCAAGAAGAAGAUAAUUAAAUUAAUACUUUAUCAAUAAAAGAUGAUUAAUUACAUUCUGUGCAACACCUAUAUAUGCAACCAUAUUUAUUAUAGCUUAUUUAUCUAACUAAUCCAUGCCUAACUAUAUAUAGCCAUCAAAUCAUAACAGAUGAUAAAUCUAAUUUUAUUUUGGAUAAUUACAUAUCCUAAUCAUAAUCAAAUAAAAGAUUUAAACUUAUCUCUAAUUAUAUUUUAAUUAAGCUUAUUGAAUAAACCCUUUGCAAACUUUUACUUGUUUGGCAUGUAAUUCUCAAUUUUGGGGUCAUUUGAAUCCUACAACCUAAUUUUCGAAUAUUUUGAUUUUUACCAUCCAAUCUUCUUUUUGUUUUGAUUCAGAUCGUGCGUCUAAUGGUUCUAAAAAACUAUUGGCCAAAUACGUUUCAUUGAAAAAUUUAAUCUCCGCUGUUUAAUGAGGUAGGUGUGGAGAAUGGCUGAACCGAUGCACCGAACACAAGAAAUAAUUAACUUUUAAAAAUAAAUUAAAUAAUUUAUAAUUUUAGUAAAUAAAUGAAAAUUUUUAAAAGUUAUGUGGUAAUUUUGAAACACUUCAGUGUUUAGAUAAGUUCCAUAUAUUUGUACCCAAUAUUUUUGGAGUAAAGAAUAUCUGCAAGUGAUUAAUCCUUUUAUUAUACUCUUGUAAAUACCAACUUUAUAGGAAUAUUUAUAUUUUUUAAAACACAGAAUAUUGGUACAAUUUUACAUGCAUUCUUUGCUUUUGAUUUGUGAGCAUCUUCCUUGCUGAGAUCUCCCAGUGAAUCAAAACAAAGAUAUUUUUCAUUUGUUGCUUUUGUUUGGACGUGGCAAACGAACGGAAUGGAUAAAUCGUGGAUAGGUUAUUGUACGUACCUACAGAUUAUAUGGAUAUGAAUAAAAUUUAAGAAAAACUUCAAAAACUCCCUUUGUGGUUUCACUUUUUUUUUCACUUUAGUACCUUGUGGUUUAAAGUGUAUCAAGUUAGUACCCUGUAGUUUAUCACUUUAUCACUUUAGUACCAUGUGGUUUAAAGUGUAUCAAGUUAGUACCAUGUGGUUUUGCACUUUAUCACUUUAGUACCCUGUGAUUUCGCACUUUAUCACUUUAGUACCCUGUGGUACCCUGUGGUUUUUAAACCACAGGGUACUAAAGUAAUAAAGUACGAAACCACAGGGUACUAAAGUGAUAAAGUGCAAAACCACAGGGUACUAACUUGAUACACUUUAAACCACAGGAUACUAAAGUGAUAAAGUGAGAAACCACAGGGUACUAACUUGAUACAUUUUAAACCACAGGGUACUAAAGUGAGAAAGUAUGAAACCAUAUGGGGGAUUUUUAAAGUUUUUUCUAAAAUUUAUCUGUUAAUUUUUGGAUAGUCUACAUGUUUAUUCAUACCAGUCUAUAGACGAGGUGGAAUGCGGGUUAUCUAUAAGAUAUUCUUCCUUUUUUUUAGCUCCUAUACUUUUCAGGUGCUAAAUACAUAUGCAUUAUUUUUAAAAAACUAUAACAUAACUUAUUGUUUCACUACAACAUAAUUAGGCUAUAGAGACACAUGUUUGGGACACUUUUGAGUAAGUGUCCCAUUUAUACUAAAACUUUAAAAAAUAUCUGCUAGUGCCUAAAUAUAAAGCACAAUCCAACCAAAAAUAAAAGAUUACUCUACUCAACCCACCACACCCAAUUCAUUUGGCCCGAUUACAAACAAAAAAGAAAAAAAAAAAAAAAAAAAAAUCAAUUGCCAUCUUUUCUUCUCUCUUCACUCAAUCCACUGAAAUUCUAGACGAAGAGCCUUUCCUGUCGUCCUCCUCCGCCACCGCAACCAAUGAGAUAUAGUUUCGGCGGUUGCUAAAUGCUUAAAUAAGUGUUUGUAAAUUAGCAGCACUCCUUUAGGUUAUAGCGACACUCUUUAACUGUCACUAUAUACCUAGCGAUCCCACAUAUAGCAACACUUUUUAAAAGUGUCGGUAAUUUUAGCUAGCAACACUUUUUUGACAUGUACCUAUAUUUAAAAGUGUCGCUAUAGACCGUUUUUGUUGUAGUGUUUGAAAUAUCACAACAUACAGUAAAUAAUAUAAAGCCUUAAAAUACAUAAAUUAAUGUAAAAAUAUUUUACAUGUAAGCCGAGCCCCUGGAGGAUGAUAGAGCAAAUGCGUGCGAGGGAGGCAGUGCGGUAGGAAAAGAUUGCCACAAUGUUAGUUUAAGUUCUAUAACACGAAUAAAAAUGUCGUGAGAAUCAUUACUACAACGAGAUCGUCAAAUUAACCAUCUAUUCGUGGAACACUGGAUUUUUAAAUCGGUUAUGAACAAUCGAUACGAGAAUUUUUUUCCCUUUACUUUGUUUAUAAUUUUUAAAUUUAAAUAUAAUUUUUUUAAAAAAAAAAUUGAGAUUUCACGGUAAUCUAAAUGCACCUCCAAAAAAAAAAAAAUAACAAGAAGAAAAAGAAAGAAACAUUUGCUGAUAAAUAUGCAUUAGAUCAACUUUGUGGAUUAGUACUAGUCAUUCUUUUAUAGGAGUUAAGCAUAAAAGGUCAUGCAUUUUUGUAUAUAUAAAAAAUAAAACCAUAAAUAAAAAAAAAAAAAGAGCUUUGAACCAUGCAAAGAUGAUAAGUUAAUUAGUAAUAUCAAAUUGCCCAAUUGGCUUUGAGGAAUUAAUAUAAUAAAAAAAAUUUUAUUAUGCUUGGGGAGUACAAGGUAUCCAUUGUUGAGAAUAUUAAUUAAAAGAGUUUGCGUCAGCUUUUAUAAUUAAUUAAAGUAUAUAUAAGGAGCAUUUGCAAGUAAUGGUUCUUCGAAAUAAAUUUUAUAAAAGUUAAAAAGGAUUAUAUAUGAAUAAAUAAAUUAUUAUUAUAAUAACUCUACUGAUCCUAGGAUAAGGUUUAAUUGGGGGGCCAUGAUGUUGACCACACCAACGAAUCUGGGUUUGGGUCGAAUAAAAACAAAACUUGGCACUGGUGAAAAUAAGAGGAGGUGAUCCCACACAGGAAUGUCUGUGGAUAUGCCAAAUUUUAUUCGAAUUCGAAUUUGAGCGUAACGAAUUUAUUCAAUACUAAACAGAUAUAAUUUUGGAUAUGCGUAUAAAAAAUAAAAAGUCUGACGAAUUUGGAUUCGAAUAUGAUUUUGUUUGUACCUAACCCGUACUCAUAGUUAGUUAAUUUGGAUUCGGCAAAAAUUCGGUACGGAUAUAAUACGCAUAAAAUUCAUUUUUUAAUUUGGAUUCGGUAUAAAAUAUAAAAUAUAAGAUAAUUUAUAUUUAAAAAUAAAAAUUUAUAAGUUUUAAUUUAUAUUUUUAAUAAUUCGGAAAUAAUUCGCGAAUAAUUCGGCUAGCCCAAAAAUUCACGAAUAAUUCACUUUCUUUGCGAAAAAUUCGUAAACGGACCGUUUAAUUCGGAUUUUCAAUAAUUCACGAAUAAUUUGCGAAUUAACUAACUAGGCCCGUACUCUGAUUGAUUUUACAUUAUAUAAUGGGAUAAUAUCUAAUAUGCUUCUGAAAAUUUCUAAAAUAUCUAAUAUACUCUUUUUUUAUUUCAAAUAUACUCCUUCUAUAUUUCUCUAUUAUUUAAAUACCCUGCUUUUAGUACCCGGUCGUGGGUUAAAUCUGAAUUAAAUUUGUACCAGAGUUUAAAAAACAUUUGAAAUACUUUUUUGCCUUAACUCAAGAGCAAAUAAGAAAAAUAAGAAAAAUUGAGGAUAGUAAAAAAGUAUAUUUAAAAAAUUAAAAAAUAAAAUUGUCACACCCCAAUAAUUUCAUAUCGGAUAGGAAUGGGAAUGUGAGUAUGUAUAUAAGAGACUUAGACAUUAGUAAUAAUAACUGGGCUUAAGCAUUUUAGGCUUGUAGUUGGGCCCAACGAAUUAUUGUUGCUAGUGGGCUGGAUCGUUACAUUUGGUAUCAGAGCCAAUCACCAGCCGAAAAUAUGUGGCUAGUCUCGACUGAGUCAGGGUCUGAAAGACAAGGUGAUAGGUUAUGCCGGAGUCUGUAUGACAAGAUGACCGGCCCGGUGAUCUUGGGCUGGCCUGAUGAUCUUGGGCUGUGUGUGUGAUUGGACUGACGAGGAUGUCAGGGUCUUAACGGGAAGAGUGUGUCACACCCCAAUAAUCCCACAUCGGGUAAUCUUGUGCUGUGUGUGUGAUUGGACUGACAAGGACGUCAGGGCCUUAACGGGCCUAAUAAUCCCACAUUAGAUAGGAAUGGAGAUGUGAGUGGGUAUAUAAGAGACUUAGACACUAGUAAUAAUAACUGAGUUUAAGCAUUUUGGACUGAUGGUUGGGCCCAACGAAUUAUUGUUGCUAGUGGGUUGGAUCGAUACAAAAAUACUUCUUUCACCCCUAACUAUAGAGUAAUAAAAAAAAUUGAUACAGUAGAAGGAUAUUUUUGAAAGGGCAAAAUAGUAAUUUCAUCAAGAUAACAGCUAUUGCUAAUAGUUCACUAACAAAAUUUAACUCUGGGAAUAUAUUUGAAGUAACUUACAACAUUAAUAAGAUAUUUUUAAUAUUAGCCUUCUAAGAGAAAUAAAUCAAAAGUCGGAAACAUUUUAGAGAUAUAUAAGCAAUUGCCCAUUAUAUAAUAUAUACAUGUAUAUAUAAAUAAAUAUUUGAUAUUAUAUUUGAAUUUAUAUUUUAAAAUUUUAUUUUUAAUAUAAUAUGGUUUGAAAUAUGGUUAAGAGAAAUAAUUAUUUCAUGUUCGAAUUUUUCGGGUUCAGCUUCGGUUUUCAGAUUUUUGGUUGGAUUCGAAUUUGACUAUGGAUUUUUAAAAUUCAUCGGAUUAAAGUUUCAAUUUUGGGUUUAGUUGUGAGACCCCAGAUAGUCCUAUAUAUAAAGAUAUAAUAGAGCUAAACUCUUAACCCGGCUUAAGCAUUUUGGGUGGUGGCUAGACCCAAGAGGUUAAGAGAGUUAAGCGUGCUAGGACGGGAGUAGUCCUAGGAUGGGUGACCCCCUGGGAAGUCGGGGCGUCACAUUAGUACUUGUGAUCAGAUUCGGCUUUUCGGAGAUAUAUCCCGAAUCCGACUUGUUGACAUCCCUAAUCACAUAGUAAAAAAAUAAUAAUAAUAAAUAAAUAAUAAAAUGGUCGGGAUUAUUUAUACCGUGAGAUCCGUCUAUCCGUUGUUCAUGUCUGUUGUUCAUGUAGCUUUUAUAUUUGUGAGGACUAUAUGAACAACGACGGAUAGAGCAGUUUUAUUUGGUGACCAGUGACCACCCCACCGAUAUCCCUUUUUUUUUCGCACCGCAUGUUUACAGAGAACUGUACUGAAAAAAAAUAUAACAAUUUUAGAUAAAGACGCACAUAACUUAUCUAAACUAUAGACCAUUUUGAAUCAGUUAUUCAAUCUUUUAAAAUUUUAAUCUAACUAUCUAAUCUUUCAAUUUGUUUGAUUUCAAGGUAAUUCAACGACUUAAAAAAUCAUAAGCAUGUAAGCUCCUGUGCUUUUAGGGAAGGAGGAGCUCUAACCUACAAAAUUAUUCCUUUUUUAAAUACUUAAUAAAUUCUC
rnacentral:lncRNA from 1 species